rnacentral:lncRNA from 1 species
AAAUGGCCAAAAACGGGUGGGCUAUAGCCUUGGCGGGGGGCGUGGGCGAAGUUCGUCCGCCGGACUCGGAAUGGCCCCAGACUUGACGGGCGGCCUCCGUGUGCCAAAAAUAGGCCACGGGUACAGCCGCGCCCAAUAAUCAGCCCCCGAAGUCGGGGUCCUAAGACCCCCCAGCGGAAAAAUGGCCAAAAAAUGGGUGGGUUAUAGCCUUGGUGGGCGGCGUGGGUGAUGUUCGUCCGCGGGACUCAGAAUUGCCCCAGACUUGGCGGGCGGCCUCCGUGUGUCAAAAAUAGGACACGGGCACAGCCUUGCCCAAAAAUCAGCCCCCGAAGGUCGGGGUCCCAAGACCCCCCAGCGGAAAAAUGGCCAAAAAACGGGUGGGCUAUAGCCUUGGUGGGGGGCGUGGGCGAAGUUCGUCCGCCGGACUCGGAAUAGCCCCAGGCUUGGCGGGCGGCCUCCGUGUGCCAAAAAUAGGCCACGGGCACAGGCGCGCCCAAAAAUCAGCCCCCGAAGGUCGGGGUCCCAAUACCCCCCAGCGGAAAAAUGGCCAAAAAACGGGUGGGCUAUAGCCUUGGUGGGGGGCGUGGGCGAAGUUCGUCCGCCGGACUCGGAAUGGCCCCAGACUUGGCGGGCGGCCUCCGUGUGCCAAAAAUAGGCCACGGGCACAGCCGCGCCCAAAAAUCAGCCCCCGAAGGUCGGGGUCCCAAGACCCCCCAGCGGAAAAAUGGCCAAAAAACGGGUGGGCUAUAGCCUUGGCGGGGGGCGUGGGCGAAGUUCGUCCGCCGGACUCGGAAUGGCCCCAGACUUGGUGGGCGGCCUCCGUGUGCCCAAAAUAGACCACGGGCACAGCCGCGCCCAAAAAUCAGCGACCGAAGGUCGGGGUCCCAAGACCCCCCAGCGGAAAAAUGGCCAAAAAACGGGUGGGCUAUAGGCUUGGUGGGGGGCGUGGGCGAAGUUCAUCCGCGGGACUCGGAAUGGCACCAGACUUGGCGGGCGGCCUCCGUGUGCCAAAAAUAGGCCACGGGCACAGCCGCGCCCAAAAAUCAGCCCCCGAAGGUCGGGGUCCCAAGACCCCCCAGCGGAAAAAUGGCCAAAAAAUGGGUGGGUUAUAGCCUUGGUGGGCGGCGUGGGUGAUGUUCGUCCGCGGGACUCAGAAUUGCCCCAGACUUGGCGGGCGGCCUCCGUGUGUCAAAAAUAGGACACGGGCACAGCCUUGCCAAAAAAUCAGCCCCCGAAGGUCGGGGUCCCAAGACCCCCCAGCGGAAAAAUGGCCAAAAAACGGGUGGGCUAUAGCCUUGGUGGGGGGCGUGGGCGAAGUUCGUCCGCCGGACUCGGAAUAGCCCCAGGCUUGGCGGGCGGCCUCCGUGUGCCAAAAAUAGGCCACGGGCACAGGCGCGCCCAAAAAUCAGCCCCCGAAGGUCGGGGUCCCAAUACCCCCCAGCGGAAAAAUGGCCAAAAAACGGGUGGGCUAUAGCCUUGGUGGGGGGCGUGGGCGAAGUUCGUCCGCCGGACUCGGAAUGGCCCCAGACUUGGCGGGCGGCCUCCGUGUGCCAAAAAUAGGCCACGGGCACAGCCGCGCCCAAAAAUCAGCCCCCGAAGGUCGGGGUCCCAAGACCCCCCAGCGGAAAAAUGGCCAAAAAACGGGUGGGCUAUAGCCUUGGCGGGGGGCGUGGGCGAAGUUCGUCCGCCGGACUCGGAAUGGCCCCAGACUUGACGGGCGGCCUCCGUGUGCCAAAAAUAGGCCACGGGUACAGCCGCGCCCAAUAAUCAGCCCCCGAAGUCGGGGUCCUAAGACCCCCCAGCGGAAAAAUGGCCAAAAAACGGGUUGGCUAUAACCUUGGUGGGCGGCGUGGGCGAAGUUCAUCCGCGGGACUCAGAAUGGCCCCAGACUUGGCGGGCGGCCUCCGUGUGCGAAAAAUAGGCCACGGGCACAGCCUUGCCCAAAAAUCAGCCCCCGAAGGUCGGGGUCCUAAGACCCCCCAGCGGAAAAAUGGCCGAAAAACGGGUGGGCUAUAGCCUUGGUGGGGGGCGUGGGCGAAGUUCGUCCGCCGGACUCGGAAUGGCCCCAGACUUGGCAGGCGGCCUCCGUGUGCCAAAAAUAGGCCACGGGCACAGCCGCGCCCAAAAAUCAGCCCCCGAAGGUCGGGGUCCCAAGACCCCCCAGCGGAAAAAUGGCCAAAAAACGGGUGGGCUAUAGCCUUGGUGGGGGGAGUGGGCGAAGUUCGUCCGCGGGACUCGGAAUGGCACCAUAGUUGGCGGGCAGCCUCCGUGUGCCAAAAAUAGGCCACGGGCGCAGCCGCGCCCAAAAAUCAGCCCCCGAAGGUCGGGGUCCCAAGACCCCCCAGCGGAAAAAUGGCCAAAAAAUGGGUGGGCUAUAGCCUUGGUGGGGGGCGUGGGCGAAGUUCGUCCGCGGGACUCGGAAUGGCACCAGACUUGGUGGGCGGCCUCCGUGUGCCAAAAAUAGGCCACGGACACAGCCGCGUCCAAAAAUCAGCCGCCAAAGGUCGGGGUCCCAAGACCCCUCAGUGGAAAAAUGGCCAAAAAACGGGUGGGCUAUAGCCUUGGUGGGGGGCGUGGGCGAAGUUCGUCCGCGGGACUCGGAAUGGCCCCAGACUUGGCGGGCGGCCUCCGUGUGCAAAAAAUAGGCCACGGGCACAGCCGCGCCCAAAAAUCAGCCCCGAAGGUCGGGGUCCCAAGACCCCUCAGCGGAAAAAUGGCCAAAAAACGGGUGGGCUAUAGCCUAUGUGGGGGGAGUGGGCGAAGUUCGUUCGCCGGACUCGGAAUGGCCCCAGACUUGGUGGGCGGCCUCCGUGUGCCAAAAAUAGGCCACGGGCACAGCCGCGCCCAAAAAUCAGCCACCGAAGGUCGGGGUCCCAAGACCCCCCAGCGGAAAAAUGGCCAAAAAACGGGUGGGCUAUAGCCUUGGUGGGGGGCGUGGGCGAAGUUCGUCAGCGGGACUCGGAAUGGCACCAGACUUGGCGGGCGGCCUCCGUGUGCCAAAAAUAGGCCACGGGAACAGCCGCGCCCAAAAAUCAGCCCCCGAAGGUCGGGGUCCCAAGACCCCCCAGCGGAAAAAUGGCCAAAAAAUGGGUGGGUUAUAGCCUUGGUGGGCGGCGUGGGCGAAGUUCGUCCGCGGGAUUCAGAAUGGCCCCAGACUUGGCGGGCGGCCUCCGUGUACCAAAAAUGGGACACGGGCACAGCCGUGCCCAAAUAUCAGCCCCCGAAGGUCGGGGUCCCAAUACCCCCCAGUGGAAAAAUGGCCAAAAAACGGGUGGGCUAUAGCCUUGGUGGGGGGCGUGGGCGAAGUUCGUCCGCCGGACUCGGAAUGGCCCCAGACUUGGCAGGCGGCCUCCGUGUGCCAAAAAUAGGCCACGGGCACAGCUGCGCCCAAAAAUCAGCCCCCGAAGGUCGGGGUCCCAAGACCCCCCAGCGGAAAAAUGGCCAAAAAAUGGGUGGGCUAUAGUCUUGGUGGGGGGCGUGGGCGAAGUUCGUCCGCGGGACUCGGAAUGGCCCCAGACUUGGCGGGCGGCCUCCGUGUGCCAAAAAUAGGCCACGGGCACAGCCGCGCCCAAAAAUCAGCCCCCGAAGGUCGGGGUCCCAAGACCCCCCAGCGGAAAAAUGGCCAAAAAACGGGUGGGCUAUAGCCUUGGUGGGGGGAGUGGGCGAAUUCGUCCGCGGGACUCGGAAUGGCACCAUAGUUGGCGGGCAGCCUCCGUGUGCCAAAAAUAGGCCACGGGCGCAGCCGCGCCCAAAAAUCAGCCCCCGAAGGUCGGGGUCCCAAGACCCCCCAGCGGAAAAAUGGCCAAAAAACGGGUGGGCUAUAGCCUUGGUGGGGGGCGUGGGCGAAGUUCGUCCGCCGGACUCGGAAUGGCCCCAGACUUGGCAGGCGGCCUCCGUGUGCCAAAAAUAGGCCACGGGCACAGCUGCGCCCAAAAAUCAGCCCCCGAAGGUCGGGGUCCCAAGACCCCCCAGCGGAAAAAUGGCCAAAAAACGGGUGGGCUAUAGUCUUGGUGGGGGGCGUGGGCGAAGUUCGUCCGCGGGACUCGGAAUGGCCCCAGACUUGGCGGGCGGCCUCCGUGUGCCAAAAAUAGGCCACGGGCACAGCCGCGCCCAAAAAUCAGCCCCCGAAGGUCGGGGUCCCAAGACCCCCCAGCGGAAAAAUGGCCAAAAAACGGGUGGGCUAUAGCCUUGGUGGGGGGAGUGGGCGAAGUUCGUCCGCGGGACUCGGAAUGGCACCAUAGUUGGCGGGCAGCCUCCGUGUGCCAAAAAUAGGCCACGGGCGCAGCCGCGCCCAAAAAUCAGCCCCCGAAGGUCGGGGUCCCAAGACCCCCCAGCGGAAAAAUGGCCAAAAAACGGGUGGGCUAUAGCCUUGGUGGGGGGCGUGGGCGAAGUUCGUCCGCCGGACUCGGAAUGGCCCCAGACUUGGCGGGCGGCCUCCGUGUGCCAAAAAUAGGCCACGGGCACAGCUGCGCCCAAAAAUCAGCCCCCGAAGGUCGGGGUCCCAAGACCCCCCAGCGGAAAAAUGGCCAAAAAACGGGUGGGCUAUAGUCUUGGUGGGGGGCGUGGGCGAAGUUCGUCCGCGGGACUCGGAAUGGCCCCAGACUUGGCGGGCGGCCUCCGUGUGCCAAAAAUAGGCCACGGGCACAGCCGCGCCCAAAAAUCAGCCCCCGAAGGUCGGGGUCCCAAGACCCCCCAGCGGAAAAAUGGCCAAAAAACGGGUGGGCUAUAGCCUUGGUGGGGGGAGUGGGCGAAGUUCGUCCGCGGGACUCGGAAUGGCACCAUAGUUGGCGGGCAGCCUCCGUGUGCCAAAAAUAGGCCACGGGCGCAGCCGCGCCCAAAAAUCAGCCCCCGAAGGUCGGGGUCCCAAGACCCCCCAGCGGAAAAAUGGCCAAAAAAUGGGUGGGCUAUAGCCUUGGUGGGGGGCGUGGGCGAAGUUCGUCCGCGGGACUCGGAAUGGCACCAGACUUGGUGGGCGGCCUCCGUGUGCCAAAAAUAGGCCACGGACACAGCCGCGUCCAAAAAUCAGCCGCCAAAGGUCGGGGUCCCAAGACCCCUCAGCGGAAAAAUGGCCAAAAAACGGGUGGGCUAUAGCCUUGGUGGGGGGCGUGGGCGAAGUUCGUCCGCGGGACUCGGAAUGGCCCCAGACGUGGCGGGCGGCCUCCGUGUGCCAAAAAUAGGCCACGGGCGCAGCCGCGCCCAAAAAUCAGCCCCCGAAGGUUGGGGUCCCAAGACCCCCCAGCGUAAAAAUGGCCAAAAAAAGGGUGGGCUAUAGCCUUGGUGGGGGGCGUGGGCGAAGUUCGUCCGCGGGACUCGGAAUGGCCCCAGACAUGGCGGGCGGCCUCCGUGUGACAAAAAUAGGCCACGGGCACAGCCGCGCCCAAAAAUCAGCCCCCGAAGUCGGGGUCCGAAGACCCCCCAGCGGAAAAAUGGCCAAAAAACGGGUUGGCUAUAACCUUGGUGGGCGGCGUGGGCGAAGUUCGUCCGCGGGACUCAGAAUGGCCCCAGACUUGGCGGGCGGCCUCCGUGUGCGAAAAAUAGGCCACGGGCACAGCCGCGCCCAAAAAUCAGCCCCCGAAGGACGGGGUCCCAAGAUCCCCCAGCGGAAAAAUGGCCAAAAAACGGGUGGGUUAUAGCCUUGGUGGGGAGCGUGGGCGAAGUUCGUCCGCCGGACUCGGAAUGGCCCCAGGCUUGGCGGGCGGCCUCCGUGUGCGAAAAAUAGGCCACGGGCACAGGCGCGCCCAAAAAUCAGGCCCCGAAGUUCGGGGUCCCAAGACCCCCCAGCGGAAAAAUGGCCAAAAAACGGGUGGGCUAUAGCCUAUGUGGGGGGCGUUGGCGAAGUUCGUUCGCCGGACUCGGAAUGGCCCCAGACUUGGUGGGCGGACUCCGUGUGCCAAAAAUAGGCCACGGGCACAGCCGCGCCCAAAAAUCAGCCACCGAAGGUCGGGGUCCCAAGACCCCCAAGCGGAAAAAUAGCCAAAAAACGGGUGGGCAAUAGCCUUGGUGGGGGGCGUGGGCGAAGUUCGUCCGCGGGACUCGGAAUGGAACCAGACUUGGCGGGCGGCCUCCGUGUGCCAAAAAUAGGCCACGGGCACAGCCGCGCCCAAAAAUCAGCCCCCGAAGGUCGGGGUCCCAAGACCCCCCAGCGGAAAAAUGGCCAAAAAAUGGGUGGGUUAUAGCCUUGGUGGGCAGCGUGGGCGAAGUUCGUCCGCGGGACUCAGAAUGGCCCCAGACUUGGCGGGCGGCCUCCGUGUACCAAAAAUAGGACACGGGCACAGCCGCGCCCAAAAAUCAGCCCCCGAAGGUUGGGGUCCCAAGACCCCCCAGCGUAAAAAUGGCCAAAAAAAGGGUGGGCUAUAGCCUUGGUGGGGGGCGUGGGCGAAGUUCGUCCGCGGGACUCGGAAUGGCCCCAGACUUGGCGGGCGGCCUCCGUGUGACAAAAAUAGGCCACGGGCACAGCCGCGCCCAAAAAUCAGCCCCCGAAGUCGGGGUCCGAAGACCCCCCAGCGGAAAUAUGGCCAAAAAACGGGUUGGCUAUAACCUUGGUGGGCGGCGUGGGCGAAGUUCGUCCGCGGGACUCAGAAUGGCCCCAGACUUGGCGGGCGGCCUCCGUGUGCGAAAAAUAGGCCACGGGCACAGCCGCGCCCAAAAAUCAGCCCCCGAAGGACGGGGUCCCAAGAUCCCCCAGCGGAAAAAUGGCCAAAAAACGGGUGGGUUAUAGCCUUGGUGGGGGGCGUGGGCGAAGUUCGUCCGCCGGACUCGGAAUGGCCCCAAGCUUGGCGGGCGGCCUCCGUGUGCGAAAAAUAGGCCACGGGCACAGGCGCGCCCAAAAAUCAGGCCCCGAAGUUCGGGGUCCCAAGACCCCCCAGCGGAAAAAUGGCCAAAAAACGGGUGGGCUAUAGCCUAUGUGGGGGGCGUUGGCGAAGUUCGUUCGCCGGACUCGGAAUGGCCCCAGACUUGGUGGGCGGACUCCGUGUGCCAAAAAUAGGCCACGGGCACAGCCGCGCCCAAAAAUCAGCCACCGAAGGUCGGGGUCCCAAGACCCCCCAGCGGAAAAAUAGCCAAAAAACGGGUGGGCAAUAGCCUUGGUGGGGGGCGUGGGCGAAGUUCGUCCGCGGGACUCGGAAUGGAACCAGACUUGGCGGGCGGCCUCCGUGUGCCAAAAAUAGGCCACGGGCACAGCCGCGCCCAAAAAUCAGCCCCCGAAGGUCGGGGUCCCAAGAACCCCCAGCGGAAAAAUGGCCAAAAAAUGGGUGGGUUAUAGCCUUGGUGGGCAGCGUGGGCGAAGUUCGUCCGCGGGACUCAGAAUGGCCCCAGACUUGGCGGGCGGCCUCCGUGUACCAAAAAUAGGACACGGGCACAGCCGCGCCCAAAAAUCAGCCCCCGAAGGUUGGGGUCCCAAGACCCCCCAGCGUAAAAAUGGCCAAAAAAAGGGUGGGCUAUAGCCUUGGUGGGGGGCGUGGGCGAAGUUCGUCCGCGGGACUCGGAAUGGCCCCAGACUUGGCGGGCGGCCUCCGUGUGACAAAAAUAGGCCACGGGCACAGCCGCGCNN